GAUUAUCCAGCUUGCUGGAUAUGAAAGUGGCGCACGGGUGCGUAACGCGUAUGCAACCUACCUUUAUCUGGGGGAUAGCCCGGAGAAAUCCGGAUUAAUACCGCAUAAAAUCACAGGAUGGCAUUAUCCAAUGAUCAAACAUUUAUGGGAUGAAGAUGGGCAUGCGUGUCAUUAGCUAGUUGGCGGGGUAACGGCCCACCAAGGCGACGAUGACUAGGGGAUCUGAGAGGAUGGCCCCCCACACUGGUACUGAGACACGGACCAGACUCCUACGGGAGGCAGCAGUAAGGAAUAUUGGUCAAUGGAGGCAACUCUGAACCAGCCAUGCCGCGUGCAGGAAGACUGCCCUAUGGGUUGUAAACUGCUUUUAUCCGGGAAUAAACCUGAGUACGUGUACUCAGCUGAAUGUACCGGAAGAAUAAGGAUCGGCUAACUCCGUGCCAGCAGCCGCGGUAAUACGGAGGAUCCAAGCGUUAUCCGGAUUUAUUGGGUUUAAAGGGUGCGUAGGCGGCCUGUUAAGUCAGGGGUGAAAGACGGUAGCUCAACUAUCGCAGUGCCCUUGAUACUGAUGGGCUUGAAUGGACUAGAGGUAGGCGGAAUGAGACAAGUAGCGGUGAAAUGCAUAGAUAUGUCUCAGAACACCGAUUGCGAAGGCAGCUUACUAUGGUCUUAUUGACGCUGAGGCACGAAAGCGUGGGGAUCAAACAGGAUUAGAUACCCUGGUAGUCCACGCCCUAAACGAUGAACACUCGCUGUUGGCGAUACACAGUC
rnacentral:rRNA from 1 species